rnacentral:rRNA from 1 species
AUUGAACGCUGGCGGCAGGCUUAACACAUGCAAGUCGAGCGGGGUGAUGGUGCUUGCACUAUCACUUAGCGGCGGACGGGUGAGUAAUGCUUAGGAAUCUGCCUAUUAGUGGGGGACAACAUCUCGAAAGGGAUGCUAAUACCGCAUAAGUCCUACGGGAGAAAGCAGGGGAUCACUUGUGACCUUGCGCUAAUAGAUGAGACUAAGUCGGAUUAGCUAGUUGGUGGGGUAAAGGCCUACCAAGGCGACGAUCUGUAGCGGGUCUGAGAGGAUGAUCCGCCACACUGGGACUGAGACACGGCCCAGACUCCUACGGGAGGCAGCAGUGGGGAAUAUUGGACAAUGGGGGGAACCCUGAUCCAGCCAUGCCGCGUGUGUGAAGAAGGCCUUAUGGUUGUAAAGCACUUUAAGCGAGGAGGAGGCUCUUUUGGUCAAUACCCAAGAUGAGUGGACGUUACUCGCAGAAUAAGCACCGGCUAACUCUGUGCCAGCAGCCGCAGUAA